rnacentral:pre_miRNA from 1 species
CAACUACUCCCUCUGUCCCAAAUUUCUUGUCUUAGAUUUGUCUAGAUACGGAUGUAUCUAAUACUAAAAUGUGACUUGAUACAUCCGUAUCUAGAAAAAUCUAAGACAAGAAUUUUGGGAUGGAGGGAGUACUUU